GUCCCUUUCUCUCUCUCCUUGCAAAGCGCAUCGGGCGAAGGUGACGCCACGAAGAGACGGAGAGAAAAUAUUAAUAAGACAAAAGGAAUAAAGUCCUAAUCUCUAUAAAUGCAUUACAAUACGUCGGAUGACAGUCAACCAUUUCUGUACUUCAAAAUUUCUUCAUUUUGCGUUUAUGCUCGGUCAAAAGCACAAAAAGCUUUGCAGAAAAAUUUUAAAUUAGACAGAAAUAGGCAUUUAUGAACAAAAGGAA